GAUGAACGCUGGCUGCGUUUCUAAUACAUGCAAGUCGAGCGAACAUAUUAGUCGCUUUCUCCUCUGACGUUAGCGGCUUACGGGUGAGUAACACGUUGAUAACCUACCUAUAAGACUGGGAUAACUUCGGGAAACCGGAGCUAAUACCGGAUAAUAUAUUGAACCGCAUGGUUCAAUAGUGAAAGACGGUUUUGCUGUCACUUAUAGCUGGAUCCGCGCCGCAUUAGCUAGUUGGUAAGGUAACGGCUUACCAAGGCAACGAUGCGUAGCCGACCUGGGAGGGUGAUCGGCCACACUGGAAUUGAGACACGGUCCGGACUGAGACGGGAGUCAGCAGUAGGGGAUAGUCCGCAAUGCGCGAAAGAAUGGCGGAGGAACGCCGAGUGAGGGAUGAAGGUCUUGGGAUCAUAACACACUGUUAUUAGGGAAGAAAAAAUGUGUAAGUAACUAUGCACGUCUGGACGGUCCCUAAUUAGACAGGCAAGAACAACCACGUG
rnacentral:rRNA from 1 species